rnacentral:rRNA from 1 species
AGAGUUUGAUCCUGGCUCAGAAUCAACGCUGGCGGCGUGCCUAACACAUGCAAGUCGAACGAGAAAGUGGAGCAAUCCAUGAGUAAAGUGGCGACCGGGUGAGUAACACGUGACUAACCUGCCCUCGAGUGGGGAAUAACCUCGGGAAACCGAGGCUAAUACCGCAUAACAUCGCAAGAUCAAAGUCGAAAGACGCUUGAGGAGGGGGUCGCGGCUGAUUAGCUAGUUGGUAGGGUAACGGCCUACCAAGGCUGAGAUCGGUAUCCGGCCUGAGAGGGCGCACGGACACACUGGAACUGAAACACGGUCCAGACUCCUACGGGAGGCAGCAGUGGGGAAUUUUGCGCAAUGGGGGAAACCCUGACGCAGCAACGCCGCGUGGAGGAUGAAGUCCUUUGGGACGUAAACUCCUUUCGACCCGGACGAUACUGACGGUACGGGUGGAAGAAGCACCGGCUAACUCUGUGCCAGCAGCCGCGGUAAUACAGAGGGUGCGAGCGUUGUUCGGAAUUAUUGGGCGUAAAGGGCGCGUAGGCGGCGCGGUAAGUCACCUGUGAAAUCUCCUGGCUCAACUGGGAGCUUGCAGGCGAAACUGCCGUGCUGGAGUGUGGGAGAGGUGCGUGGAAUUCCUGGUGUAGCGGUGAAAUGCGUAGAUAUCAGGAGGAACACCUGUGGCGAAAGCGGCGCACUGGACCACAACUGACGCUGAGGCGCGAAAGCUAGGGGAGCAAACAGGAUUAGAUACCCUGGUAGUCCUAGCCCUAAACUAUGGAUGCUUGCUGUGAUCGGUACCCAAUCCGAUCGUGGCGAAGCUAACGCGAUAAGCAUCCCGCCUGGGGAGUACGGUCGCAAGGCUGAACUCAAAGGAAUUGACGGGGGCCCGCACAAGCGGUGGAGCAUGUGGUUCAUUCGACGCAACGCGAAGAACCUUACCUGGGCUCGAAGCGCAGUGGAAUGAGGUGGAAAC